rnacentral:tRNA from 1 species
GGCAGCGGAGCUCAGCUGGUAGAGCAUGCGCGUACAAAGCGUAGGCGGUGUCCAUGCGUGGGUUCGAAUCUCACCGAGGCUA